rnacentral:rRNA from 1 species
CGAGGCCGACAGGCGUAGUCGAUGGAUAACGGGUUGAUAUUCCCGUACCCGUGCACGAGCGUCCAGUAUCGAGGCGACGGAUGCUAACCACGCUGGCUCUUGGUGGUCCCUUCGGGGACUGUCUCUGAGCUGGUCUGGGAACCGAUGUUGUAGUAGGUAAGUGAUGGGGUGACGCAGGAGGGUAGCUCUACCCGGCGGUGGUUGUCCGGGGGUAAGCGUGUAGGCCG